UUGUGUGAGAAUGAAGAGAGAAAGAGAGAGUGAGAGAGAGCGAGAGAGAGAGAGCCAGUCUGCAGGAUCAGUUGUUGGUACCACAUCUUUUAAUCUUCCUUCCCCUGUUUUACUUCUUACCCUUGUAUGAUAAGAAGAAGAGGGGUUUGGAAGGAAGGUUUCUACACUUUGGGGGAUUGGUGGAUGACCCCCAUUUGUCUGCUGCACCUCUUCUCAGUGCUGGUGGUGAAGGGAUUGGUGGGAACAGACCUUCUCAGAACUCUGUGCAAUCUGAGGGCAGCUACAAUCUCUCUUCGAGCUUCUGCCAUGUUGAACAAUCUUUCCUGGUGCUCACCAUGGCUGCCAAGAUCUUGGAAAACACCACCUACAACCUCCUCUUUCGCUGACGAUGGAUCUGUUGAAGCUCUGGACCUAGAGGAGCUCAGUUGCUUGACAAGACUACGAAUGUACGCACCGGAUAGAUGC